rnacentral:rRNA from 1 species
GACGAACGCUGGCGGCGUGCUUAACACAUGCAAGUCGAACGGUGAAGCUCCAGCUUGCUGGAGUGGAUCAGUGGCGAACGGGUGAGUAACACGUGAGCAACCUGCCCCUGACUCUGGAAUAAGCGCUGGAAACGGCGUCUAAUACUGGAUACGAGAAGGGUCCGCAUGGGCACUUUCUGGAAAGUUUUUUGGUUGGGGAUGGGCUCGCGGCCUAUCAGCUUGUUGGUGAGGUAAUGGCUCACCAAGGCGACGACGGGUAGCCGGCCUGAGAGGGCGACCGGCCACACUGGGACUGAGACACGGCCCAGACUCCUACGGGAGGCAGCAGUGGGGAAUAUUGCACAAUGGGCGAAAGCCUGAUGCAGCGACGCCGCGUGAGGGAUGACGGCCUUCGGGUUGUAAACCUCUUUCAGCAGGGAAGAAGCGAAAGUGACGGUACCUGCAGAAGAAGCACCGGCUAACUACGUG